AGCGGGGCCGGGCCGGGCCGGGCGGGGCGGGGGCGGGGGCGGCAGGCGGCGCUCGGAGCCCCUGGGCAGCCGCGGUGCAGCCGCACUCCCUCCCCAUCCCUGUCCCCGACCCGCCGCCGCAUCGGCCUCCGACUCUCCCGCCUCGCUUCCGAGGAGCAGCAGGAAUCGCCUCGGACACGGAGAAAACGUGAAAGUGCGGGCUGGGGACCGGGGUUUAAAAGCCAAAAAGCUCACAGAGGUGAGGAAGUUAGCAGCGGGCUCCGGCCGCCGCAGCGGCUCUCCGGGGCUGUUUGGCAGGAGGCCCCGCAGAUACUCCGGGCUGCGCGGGGAACGCGGCUCCCUGGCGGACACCUCGCAGGGGACCGGCUUCGGGGGGAGGAAACGCUGCCGCUCCCGGCCAGCGGCGCCCCGUCCCCCCGCGCCCGGGCCGCCCCGACCGGAGGACGGACGGAUGGACGGAUCCGCAAGCCCGGCGAGCAGUGAUCUGGGCAAUAAUUACAUAGGCAUUGGCUCUGAUCCUGCGAAAUCUGUAACAAAAAGGCACCUCGUCUGAAUGGGAUCAGGAUCGGGCCCACAAUCCCCGAUUCUCUUAAACAUCAGUCUGAACAUCGGCAGUGAGAAUACACGGGACGUGAAAUAUUUUAAGUGGAACAGCUUACCAUCACUCACCAUUACUUGAAAAUCUACCAUUUUGAAAGUUGAAGAGAUUAUAGAAUUACUGCUAAAUUUAAUAAAGACAAAUGAUGGCAUGAUUAACACUUACUGAUUUAAGUGGAUUGUUUACUGUUUAUACAAACAUGCUGGAUACUUGAAACAGCUCCUAAAAUCUCAUUCACACCGUAACAAUACAUUUUCUGCAUUUACUGUAGAGCGAGUAUAUAUGUAGAUGUUAAUUUGCCUUCUCCAUGUCUGUUUUAUAACCGCAAUCUUGGUUAACCAUAGCUUCUUUAGAAAAUGAGCUUGGUUGUUCCUAAAUACAGCCACAGAAUUCAAGCAGCCUUGUAACAAAAAUCAGAAAAGAAGUGGGAACGUCCUAACCAUACAUUUUACUUCUCUGUUUAUGAAUUAUUUUUACACUGGUUCCCAGUAUUACCCUGAGAAAACAAAAAUCUUACAUUAUGUUGUGGUCUGCGAUGAGAUAUGUGGUGUGGGAAACAAGACCAGGGAUCAAACUUCUAUAUGACCAGCCUUUUCUAAGGGUUUACGUCCCCUUGUGCAGCAGAGCAGACCAGGUUGUUCCCUGUGGAAAUGUCAACAGAGGCUCAGCACUCUUCAGCUGGCUAACAGAACAGUGCGUUGGGAAGAGGGGGAUAACCCAGAACACACGCAUUUGGUAGUACUAGCAUGAAAACGGAACAGAGAUGUGCAAAAGCUAUGGUUCAGCUCCAGCCGGACAGGCCUGUUGGUCUGAAACUGCACCAGCCUGGGCACUUUGACCAGGUUCUCCUGUCUUGGAAUGAGCCGUAGGCAGACAGGCAGCUCCACAGUUCUCUCCUGAAAUGUUACCUCUGUAACGCAAACUGAAAAGUGUUUAUCAACCUGAUUUUCAUGUGAGCUUGCACUGAGCCGAGACCCUGCGGUCCCAGCGCUCAUCCUUCUUCUCCUGCUUGCCAAAGGGAUGACACAUCCCCAAUACUCUGAAGAUGUUUGAGACACCUCACACAGUGAGUGAAUCACAACCAACACCUUCAGUAUACAUGCAAAAAAUGGCACAGAAGCUCAAAAGGAUCGUAAGAGGGCAUGUUAGUAGCACUGGAAAGAGGAGUUUAUAAUCUUUGGGUCAGCAAGGGCAAUAGGCAUGGUGAGGUGUAUGAGGCGACACAAAGCUUAAGAGAACAGAGACAAUGAAGAUCCUUCUUUUUCAAGACAAGAUAGGAGCGGAUGAAGUAGUGAUACUUCAGUAAGGUAAUACUGACAUAUCUGCCUGUACGUAGGUAUGCAGUUGCUUGGCAGCUUAGACAUCUUCGCCAACCUAAUCGUCUCUGCUUUGCUAAGCUUCAAGGACACCAGCUCUCCAGCACAUUUCACAGCAGUCAGCUUUCUGCUUGUGCUUGGACAAAUGAUGAUAGCAAACAUGGGAAGUUCAAAGGGCGGUUUAACAAAUCUCCAAAGUAACAGCACACUGCUAGGAUUCUGCUGCACUCCCACUCUCUCCUGCCUCUGCUGGAUAGAUGCAUUGUUCAGCAUUAGAACAAUUCUCCAGGACAUUUAUGAACAGGGUUUGGGAAAACUAAGAUCUCUUCUGUCAUCAUGUAAGGGAAAUGAAUGCUGUGCAAGAUAGGUGGUAACAAAAAAUGCCUCCUGGGGGCAGGGGGAAGGGGGAAGAAAAAAACCCCCACCUCCUUGCAAAAAGCCAGAACAAACCAAAAAACUGCCUAACCAAAAUUUGAAAUUGAAACUUUUAACUAUAAUGGAAGAAAAAUUAAACACCCAACACAAUUUUUAACAGCAAUUUCUCUAGGUAGGUUCAUAUCCUGAUGCAAACUCACACACAGCUCACACUCAGUUAAAUCACUAUGCAAAUGCUGGUCUACGUUCUAACCUACUUUGCAUCAGACAGGUAUCAAGUUUUAAGGGAAUACAAGAAUAUCUUGAGCUCUUAUCAUCAAAAGUCAAUUUACCCCCUACCCAAACUGUGUCCACCUUUAUUUUCCUAGAAAUCAAGCGUAUCCCUGAGGCCCUCCAUUUUAAAAAAGGAAGAAAACCCCCGAAUAAUGCAAACAUGAUGUCCGCCCACACCAGGUCUACGAGACCUCCCUAUGAAAUACAGAAUGCUUUAGAACAGUAGUUUCUACCAACUGAAAUUCUGCCUCAACAGAAAAAUAGAAAUACGUAUCUGGUUUCCCUUUUUUGAGGGUUGGGGGAAAGAAACACAGGCAGCAAGUUUAGAAUGGAAAAAAGGCAACCCUAACUGUGACUGGACAUUUUGUCCACACAGUAGUCCUGAAGGUGUGACUGAAAAUAGCCUCUCAAGUCUAAGCCUACGCAAUGUUAACUGUAAGGAACAAAUGCUACUAAUUAGCAUCAAAUUAGCAGUGUAGGACAAAAUGCUUUGGUACAACAGCUGCACAUAUGAGAACUUAAGUGUCUUGCUUCUGGAAGAGGAGAGGAAACAAAAAUGCAUAGGUCUGUUUUGAGUAUUGACUUUUAAUAGCUUGUUUCUCAUAAGGGAAAAGGGGAUGUUUUCUGUUUGAGAAAUACAGGUAUCAGUUGAGCUUUAAAUACAGCCUGCUCCUGCCAACAGGUCAUGUACAUGAUUUAUUUGGCUUUGAAUUUUGUUUUUAUGCAUUAAGCAACCUUCAACCUUCUUUAGUAAUACAAGAUAUAGACAAAUUAAGUACAGUAAUAGUGUAGGUAUUUUACUGUCUUCACAUUUUUCUUGACAUACUGGACAAAGCGAUACACAUCAAUCUGCCCCCAAGCCCAGGUUUCAUACAAAGCACGUUGAAUACUGCUUUCAGUGGCACAUGCAACUUGCUCCCACAUUUAACUUGCCAAAUCUACAGAAACAGAUCCUUUGGGAACAUCAGGAAUGAUUUCCAACUUUGCCCAGUGAUAUUCAAAUGCUCAGACAACUACUGGUAGUUUUUGUUUUAUGGUUACUACAGAUGUUGCACACCAACAGGAAAAAGAAAGUUUUAGAACUGGACAAGCUAUAGUAACCAGGUUUUGGUAGAAGAAUUAUAUACCAAAAGGGGAGUUUAUAUAUGGUUUUCAAUCUGUAGUUUCUCAUUUUUCAAAAUAAAACCUGUAUAUAUAAAUGGAUAACGUUCAAGAUCUGUAUAUGAGUAACAGUUGCCUUCUGGAUAAAACAGUGUAUUUCGACAGAAUCUCACUUUCUGUUUUUCACUUCAAGUAUGCCAGCCAGUCCAGUUCUUUGGGAAAAAAAAACUUCCAUUUUUAAAUCCUUUAGGACCCAUCAGAUUCAUUAUAUGGUAAUGAUGUUAACUUAUACAAUAUACUGCAUUAUGAGGUGAACUGGAGGGGAUUAGAUAUUGAAGUACUGGUCCGGGUGCAGUAAGCCAAACAGCUGUUUAAGCGUGAUACUACAGCUGAAAUAAGUCUCUGUCAGAAUAAAAACCAACAUUCAUGAAAACAGCAGCAGCAGCCAUCAAAAACAUUCACAACUGCAGGGAUUUUUUUUUUUUUUACUGUGUGUAAUUUUGCAUUAUAAACAGGAGAAGCCACAACAGUUUAAAGCAAAAUAAAAAAAAAAUACCACUAUAGUCUCGAAUUUAACAAUGUAAAUUGUCACUCGGCUGUUAUAGAAGUGUACUAAAAAAAUUUACUUAAACAUAUGAAUUUAAGACUUUCACUUUAUUCAGCAAAUUGGUUUAUUUACACAAUGGGGAACGCUGGUUGAAUGCUGUCAAUGUAAUAAAAACAAAUCUAACAGAGACAAUACUGAACUCCCUCUAUGUA